CAGUAGCCGCGGUAAUACGGAGGGUGCGAGCGCUAACCGGAAUAACUGGGCGUAAAGGGCACGCAGGCGGUGACUUAAGUGAGGUGUGAAAGCCCCCGGCUCAACCGGGGAGGGUCAUUGGAAACUGGGAAACUUGAGUGCAGAAGAGGAGAGUGGAAUUCCACGUGUAGCAGUGAAAUGCGUAGAGAUGUGGAGGAACACCAGUGGCGAAGGCGGCUCUCUGGUCUGUAACUGACGCUGAGGAGCGAAAGCGUGGGGAGCGAACAAGAUUAGAGACCCCAGAGUCCCUGUCUCUUAUACA
rnacentral:rRNA from 1 species